rnacentral:rRNA from 1 species
AGGACGAACGCUGGCGGCGUGCCUAACACAUGCAAGUCGAGCGAGGAGAUUCCUUCGGGAUGAUCCUAGCGGCGGACGGGUGAGUAACACGUGGGCAACCUGCCUCAUAGAGAGGAAUAGCCUUCCGAAAGGGAGAUUAAUACCUCAUAACAUUGCAGUUUCGCAUGGAACAGCAAUUAAAGGAGUAAUCCGCUAUGAGAUGGGCCCGCGGCGCAUUAGCUAGUUGGUGAGGUAACGGCUCACCAAGGCGACGAUGCGUAGCCGACCUGAGAGGGUGAUCGGCCACAUUGGGACUGAGACACGGCCCAGACUCCUACGGGAGGCAGCAGUGGGGAAUAUUGCACAAUGGGGGAAACCCUGAUGCAAGCAACGCCGCGUGAGUGAUGACGGCCCUCGGGUUGUAAAGCUCUGUCUUCAGGGACGAUAAUGACGGUACCUGAGGAGGAAGCCACGGCUAACUACGUGCCAGCCGCAGC